UGCAGCUCUUAAGUUAUCCACAUAUCCCUUAUUUCUCUCUGAAUCGGACAUCGAUCUUUUGUGGUCUUAAUUUGGCUGGGUGUACGUUUAUAGUCAGACUCUCUAGAGCUCUAUAUUUGUCUCAUAAAAACCUUGAGAUCAAUAUGAAUCCCCAGCAGCCCUCUGAUGUAUCGAUUGAGUUAAGAAUGUGUGAGCAUCUAAUUGUAUAUCUUGUUUACGUGCGGAAUGUGUGAGGAUCUAAUUGUAUAUCUUGUUUAUUAAUUAGUAGCCCACAUCGAAACUUAAGGGGGCGUUCUGACAAUGAAGAUGGAGCUGGACAUAGACCGAGUAUAAUGUGACAAAUAUUAUUACAGAGAAUACUUGGUCCAAGUGAUGAUGAACCAACUAGUUAUUUUCCGAUAUGGGAAGACAUAUUUAGAAUAUCUUGUGCACUUGCUGUCCUUCUUGAUCCACUGUUCUGUUACAUUCCUAUCAUUGAUGAGGAACAUGUGUGCUACUAUUGGCACCAGAAAUUGAUGUGGACAUUUGUUGGUUUACAAUCCGUCAUACAACUGUUUUAUGCAAUGGACAUUUUUGUUUUCUGGAAACGAGUUCAUCGCAGACGUAAUGCUAAUAGGACAGUACAAGCGUGCAUAUUUAAGUGGUUACCUAUUAUACCUCGCAUAUAUAUUUCUCUUCCCAUUGCACAGGUGGACCAAGGUCCACACAAGACUUUUGCUAUUUUUGGGGUCGAACAAUCGGGGCUCGAGAGGACCGCCUUACUUGGCUCCCAUCGCUUAGGUCCCAGACUCCCAGAUAGCUCUGAAUCAAAUCUUGUCGGUGUGGGGCAUGUGACAACACCAUCCGACAUGAGAUAGUAGUAGUUGCAAAAUAUUUUGAUCGUUAUUAUUUUAAUUCAUGUGUGUUAAAAAAAUUUCUUAUUUAGCUGAGGUAAAAUUGUUGUGUAAUGUGACUACAGGCAACAGUACUCAUAGGAAGAUAUGCAUAUAAUUGGGAUAACUAUAUUUUUCUAGUUUUUUUCUAUCCGGUGCAAUAUACACUACGGACUUAUGGCACCUUUGGACUGAUCAAGCAACCUCCUAAUAUGGAAACUGGAAUAGGAAGAUGGCUUCAAGCUAUACUGGAUUUUCUUCCAUUCAUCAUUGCUUCACAUUUAUUUGGGGCCUUGUGGUACCAUUUUGCCGCUGAAAGACAUGUAGGUUGUUGGGACAAAGCCUUGAGGGAGAUUGAAUUUGAAGGAUGUGAAGCUCACCAUAAUUUCUACUGCGGUGGUCCCCCGCUGACUAACAUUGAAAACUGCAGCAUGAGGACUGAUAAACAACGACAGUAUCAUCCUUAUUCCUUCAAGGAAAUGGCAACAUAUCUCAAUGCAUCAUGCCCUAUAAAUCCAGAAAAUACAACAAAGUUCGAUUUUGGUAUAUAUCAAUAUGCUCUUCGAUCUGGCUUUACAAGAUCACCAUAUCUUCCACGAAAGUUCCUGCAAUCUUUUUGGUGGGGCUUGCGGAAUUUGAGUUCUUUUGGCUCAAACCUCCAGACCAGUUUCUAUACGUUGGAAAUUAGCUUCUCAAUUUUGAUAUCUAUAACGGGGCUAGCUCUGUUUUUAGUAUAUCUCAAUGCAAGAGUGCAGGUGUCACAAAAAAGAUCUGAUCGGAUAAAAUUACGACGAAAGAUGCAAAUGAUGAAUCUAGACAUAGAUUUGUGGUUAAGUAGAAAUUACCUUUCUGGACACAAUAAGGAGUUGAAGAAAUUGAUCAUGAAAAACGUAUAACAAAAGCUUGAAGAAAACAAAGAUGUUGAUGUGCAAAAUUUCUUCUCUCUUCUUCCUAUAGUACAGAAAAGACAGAUCAUGAGUCUUCCGCGCUUGACCUCUCUAAAGAAAGUACCGAUGUUCAAAAAUAUGAAUAUACGAGUGUUGGAAGCAAUUGUUAAACAUCUUGAGCCAGUGACUAUUACUAAAAACUGCUAUAUUAUUCGAGAGGGGGAACCAGUUUGGAACAUGCACUUCAUCACGAAUGGCACCGCAGUGAGCUACAAAACUGGUAAUCAUACCAAUGUUGGUGGAUGUAUGAAUGAUUCCUCAAUCAUUAAGUGCCUUGGGACGAACUUUUAGAUUGGGCAUUUGUAUUUGCCACUAUAUCUGAUUUGCCCUUCUCCACCAAAACUGUCAUGUCGCAGACAAGAGUUGAAGCAUUAUCUAUCAGCGCUCCGUUGUCUCAAAAUUUCGGUUGCAUUUUAGUUUGAACCCGCCUGACCUAGAACAUUCUCCAUUGGAGCAUAAGGCAGCUUCGUCCUUGCGAGCAACGUGGCGCGCAACAGCAAACCGCGGCAGUGGGUGGAGCAGAUUGAGGGAAUUAUUACAUGAAGUAUGAUCGAUCUUGGACUUAUUAUAUAUGAAGUCAAUUUACCAAACACUCAGCUGCUUUGCUUUUCAGCCACUUAUUUUCAGAAAUAAGCAGAAG